CGGAGUGUAGCGCAGCCCGGUAGCGUACUAGCAUGGGGUGCUAGGGGUCGCUGGUUCGAAUCCAGUCACUCCGA
rnacentral:tRNA from 1 species